ensembl:lncRNA
AUAUGGCUUAAGAUGUCUGUGGACUCUGAAAACUCAUGUGUUCUGCUGUCAUCACGUGACUCCAGGACUUCCUGCAUCUUUCAGACAGCAGACGAGAAGGAAGAGCUCCCAGGAGUGGGAGAGGAGAGCGUUCUGGAGAUGCUGAGUUACUCCAAGUUCUCAGACCUGGAGACAUGGCUGUGCAUGCCGUCCUCUCUGCUUCUGUCCAGACCGCUGGACUCCAUCCUCAUGUGCUCAUCUUCCUCCACCCUGUCCUCUUCACUUGCAUCCAACCUCUCCUCUACCUCGCUUCCCAUGUCCUCCUCUUCCUCUCCGACCCUCGACUCCCGCUUCUCCACCUGCAGCGAACCGGGAGAGCUCGGCACACUCCUCAGGUCAUCAGAGCAAGAGUCCACCUGCCUCACACCCGCUUUAGGAAAGGAGGUGACCUUUCUGUCCACACCGCUGCUGCCCGUUCUCUCCUCCACACCUGCUGCUGCUUCAGAGCCAAGCUCACAGCCGCCAACAGGAGACUCCGCCUCCCACAGUGGCGUCAGCAUCAGGAAACGACGGCGGCUUGCUGCCAGCCCUGGAGGACUCCACUGGAACUCUACAGGUUCAGUGCUGCGGGACUUCUGGUCACCUGAUCUGCCUCCAGGGAUGGCAGCCGGAGGUGGAGCCAGAGAACCAGGUGGAGGGGGAAGGAGCCUCCCUCUGAGCGAGAUGGGCAGAGGAACACCUGUGUGGGCAACAGGUGAACGGGUGGCUCUGAGGAAGACUGUGUCUGCUGACGAUGAGCUGCUGCGGCUGGCUGGUGGAGGUCCAAGACUGCUGAACCGAGCCGAGCAGAACCGAAAGAAGCUGCGCGGCAUCCAUAGCCUGGGAACAACAGGAAGAUACGACAGCAGAAAAAAUGACGAAGGCUGAUGUGGAUGGCCACUGCUGCACAUGCGCCUCAAACGUAAAGCGGCGGCUGAGCAGAGGCAAGAAGCAACUGCCGAACGUACCGCAGCAGGCAAGAUUAACAGAUGUUCAUAAAGGCUGUGUGCUGAGCCCCCUCCUGUUCACUCUGCUGACAUAUGACUGCUUGGCGAGACAUCCCAGCUGCCAUAUUGUGAAGUUUGCGGAGGACACAACAGUAGUAGGACGCAUCACUGACAACGAUUAGUCGAGUACAGAGAGGAGGUAGAACAUCUGGUGCAGUGGUGCAGAGAAAAUAAUCUCUGCAUCAAUGGGAAGAAAAUCAAGGAGAUGGUGGUGGACUUCAGAAGGAACCGGUGCCCCCUCCCCCCCUCUACAUCGGAGGAGUAGCUGUGGAAGUUGUCUCCUGCUAUAGGUACCUGGGUGUGCAUAUCACUGAGGACCUCAAAUGGAGCUCAUCAGGAAAGCUCACCAGCGUGUCUACUUCCUUAGGAAGCUGUGGCAAGCUGGACUUGGGAGCUCAGUCCUGAGGCGCUUUUACCAUGGUGCAGUGGAGAGUGUCAUGUGCACCUGCAUCACUGUGUGGCACAGUAGCUGCACUGUCACUGAGAGGAAAGCUCUGCAGAGUGUGGCUAGGGCUUCCCAGUUGCUUGUGGGGAGCGGCCUCCCUGAAAUCACAGACAUCUACACAACACAGUGUAGGGCCCUCAACAUCCAUCGGCAGGAGGUUGAGGAGCAUCCGGAGCAGGACCACCAGGUUCUGAAACGGCUUCUUCCCUGAAGCUGUCAGACUGUUUAAACUCUGGUCAUGCUCGGUAGAGCUCCCCUCCCCCUACAUACACAUACACACAUCGGUACUGAGAGCACCUUUAGAGUGGACUAAUUUCACUUGCACACACACAUUUAUCAUAUUUUGUCAUCUAUGGAAUACUGUACAUGCCAAGCUCGGUACUUGUUUUUAUCCUUAGUGCUUUUUGCUCUUUUUCUAUGGCUUUAUACCGGGUCCUGAGUUCAAAUUUCGUAUAACAAGCAUGUAAAUGUGAAUUGGUAUGACAAUAAAACUUUCUUAAUCUUAAUCUUCUUAAAAGAAAUGACGCGUUGAUUAAUAAAUGAAUAGGCGACAAUUUUAUGUGUCGAUAUAGUUGUGACGAGUCGACUAACCGUGGCAGACCUACUCUCAACAAGAUUUUCCUUCAACAGAAAUGCUUUGUUAGAACAGCUACUAGAUCAGAAGCAAGAGCAGCUUCAGCCUCUUUCAGAGACUAAACAUUUAUCAAGUGAACAUUUCUCAUGUGUCUUCAUUUAUAAAAAAUUUAACUGACGGACAAAUACACAAACUGUUUAAUAUGUACUUGAAUGUAAAUUCAUCUAUUCGCUCAUAUAAUACGCAAUAGAGCUCCGGGAGUUGACGUCACGUCUCCCGGCAUGCAACAGUUCAAAUCGAACGGCGCCAUCUUGGCAGGCAGUAGAUAGGCUAUUUGUUAUUGUCAGAAAACUCAGGCUAUUUGUUAUUGUCAGAAAACUCAAUCAAACGGAAAAUAUGGUAGAUUCCUGUUCUGCCCCAGGAUGCCAGAACAGACUCGGACGAGAUAAGGGAAGAACCUUCUGCAGGAUUCUCCAAGAUCCUGAACGCAGCAAACGGAUCAUCGCAAUGAAACACGGUAGCCUUCUGGCUAAAAUGAAACUGUGGGAUCCCGAGAGUAAAGGUUUUCGCUUAUGCAGCGACCACUUCAUAUCAGGUACUUAAACCAAUGUUUCCUCAACUGUGUAUGGUGUUUAUUUCAAAUGCUUUUAUUACGAUUCUUAGUGGGCUUCCUAAACUUAUUUUGGCGUGACUUUUUCUGUCUUAUUAUUCAUAGCAACAAGUAAAUGUCACGUAAAACGUUGCCUCGUGAUUUCUGCGUGCUGCCGUUCACGUGUUUUAUGAUCACAGCAAUUUACCAGCUAAGCUGUAUUUAAUUUUUAAGCAAUGGUUGAUCAAUUGUCAGAUCACACAUAAAAAGAACUUUGGAUUGCUAUUAUCUGUCUCACUGAUGCAGAUCUCAGACAGAUCCUGAGACGCUCCUGCCUGACAUAUUUAUUUUAUUCACUGGAAAAAAUCAGACCAGUGAUUUCUCUUGGCGUUCAGUUAAUACAUUCAAACAGCACAGCACUCUAUUUAAACUUCUUACAUGUAAAGCUGUUAUUUGUGUUUUGUACAAGGAAAUUAUAAAUGUCAGAGCAUCUCAAAUCCGGUAAGACAUUCGAUCCGACAGCUUCUGGCAUUUUAAAAAGUAUCCCAGGGGCACGGUAAGGGUCAGAGAUGUUUAGUCUAUUUAAUUUCUGACUAUAGAAAAGGAUUUCUUCGGUUUUAAAGUGUGAAGUAAACUCCGACGGAGUAAAAUCUAAGCUGAUCCCGUUCAUUUUGUUUACCUUUGUUGCCUGCCAACAUGGCGUCUACUCUCUGAGUGUCACGUGACGUCUGGAGCUCUAUAGUCAAUGGAUCUCCAUCCCUUGUCUACAUCAAUUCUCUAUCCGUUUUAGGGAUACAGUAGUCUGGAAUCAUUUUUCCUAUCUGGCAAGCCAGUGUUCUACAGUUGAUACUUCUAAAAAAACGUUUAAAAUUUCAUUUCACUGAAGGUGGGCAUUAAUUGUUCAUUAUUUAGCAAAUUAGACUGUAUUUUAUUAUUGUCUUAAUUUUUUGUUAUCAAUGAUUUUAUGAUUUUUAUGUCAAUGUUUUGUUUGAGGCUUCAGGUAAGCCUCACUUGCUUUUCUUCCUCCAGCACUGUAAUUUAUUGGCCUUAUACUAUUUAUUAUAUCGUUGUUUUUUCUAUUGUGCAAAUAAAUAAAUUAUGAACAAUCUAUAAUGAGCACACAAGUCCAAUAACAAAGCACAGCUUCUUGUGAACUAAACAAAUAUAUUUAGUCUUUCAAAACAGUUACUGAUCUUAAUGUUGGAAAAGUUUGAUCCGCUGGACCAGAGAACCUCAAGGAUUUUAAAGUGUUAUCAGAUGAUUUCAGGGAGGCCUGGGAUGAGUGUUCAAGGUGAAGGUGGUGUCUGCAUUUCAGAACAAGGUUGAUCUAAAAGGAGAUCUGUUGCUUCUUUUAAACAAAACCCAUGUCUAUAGUGUUCCUCAGUUUAAACAAAGCGUUCGGCUGUGUCUAUUAGAGGUAAUCUGAAGUUGGUUAAGUUUUUAUUAUCAUCCUUGAUGGAUUGUUGUUUUCUGCUCAAAUCAUGUGAUGGUACAUUUGAGGGCUAAGUGACUGCCGGGCUUGCCGCCGUCCCUGCAGCGCCGAUCUGCUUCGACUGUCAGAGCGGGCCGGCAGGAAGCCACCGAUGCAGCAUCUGUGUGAUUGAUUCUAGUCAUUUCCUUUCUGUAGCAUUCCCUCUGAGGAAAACUCCCACAUACUCGUAACCUCUUCCACACACUGUAUGCUCCAUUAAAGCUGUGUGUGCACAGCUAAACUACAGAGUCGUGACUAGUCAAACGAAUGCCCGAGUUAAUCAAACAACUAGAGAGGAGGAGCUGACAGGUUGUCUCCAACAAUCUGAGUCAACAUCAAAGAGAUCUGGACCUGCUGCUGGUUCACACCAACAGAAAAGAUCAGAACCUUCUAAUGGGGGACAUUAUGGAAAUCUGACAUUUUGCAUCCCUUUGUGCCUUCAUGUGCCUCUAUUAAUACUCCAAAUGAAAUGAAAUAAAAACUAUCCAUCCGUUUUCUGUCAGGAACUAAAUGGCUUUAACAAGCCAUUUCACCAGGAGGGCUCCUGCAUGGUGCUUGACCCUUCAUACCCAUGGACUGUUCACACCCCUCCCACACGUCUGGUCUAUAAAUUUUGACCUCACUGCUCCCCAUGAGGAUCGGUCAAAUGUGGAGGACAAUUUUUACCACACCACACUAGUGUGUGUGUCAACUAUACACUGUAAAAAAAAAUAACUGUCAAGUUUACGGUAAAAUACCGGCCACAGUGGUUGCCAGGAAUAUACUGCGAAAAAAAUGUGUAAUCUGUAAAUGAAAAUAAGGCACCGUAAAUCCUCUAAUAUUAGCCUGUAUUUAAUUAACUGCCGGGUAUCAUAUUUUGGCCGGUGUUGGUGUCGGAGUCGGCGGAGGUGAAUAAUGGCCGGUUUUUUAUUGUGGCCGGGUGGAAUGUGGCAACAAGCCAGUACGGGGGGCGGUUGUGUCAUCCGUCUCACUUUUGAUUUGCCAGUGAUAGACCGCGAGGGUAACUUUAACCAUGCGGAGACGAAGAGGAGGCGAAAAUUUGAUAUCAAGUUCAAAGAGAACGUGCUGAUUAUGCUGCAGAACACUCUGGGGAGCAGUAGCAGGGGUUGUAUGAACUAGUCACUAGUCGACUUCACCGCUCUAUAGUGACUUUUUAUGCCUGUCAUCGACUAGUCGCUGUCACGUGAUAAUGACCGGCAAGAUGCAGUCCACGGAAAAGACAGCAGCCUGCUGUCAGCAGGUGACAAGCUCCUGCGCGUCGG